rnacentral:lncRNA from 1 species
AAACAGAAAAAUGUGAUUGCAUAAACAUCGUUGUUGGCAGGAGGACUCAGUGGAUUCAGGUUUCUAGCAGCAGUUGAAGAAGUUGUUGAAGAAGUUCUGCAGUAUUUUAUUGAGAUCAGCAAAGCUUUUAUUGCUUUAGACUGAGCUGUUUCUAACUGGCAAGUGCAUUUUCUUCGUUAGGUGCAAGGUGAGGAAAAAAGCAGUUGGGGCUUUGCAUUGCUGUAGUCAUGACCAAGAAGGACAUUUAAAAAGCAUAUGAAUGGGUGUGGAUUUGAUAUUUCCUAAAACCAGCUUUUUUUAGUAUUAAAUUGCAUAUUCCAGGAAGCUAGUU